CGGACGGGUGAGUAAUGUCUGGGAAACUGCCUGAUGGAGGGGGAUAACUACUGGAAACGGUAGCUAAUACCGCAUAAUGUCGCAAGACCAAAGAGGGGGACCUUCGGGCCUCUUGCCAUCGGAUGUGCCCAGAUGGGAUUAGCUAGUAGGUGGGGUAACGGCUCACCUAGGCGACGAUCCCUAGCUGGUCUGAGAGGAUGACCAGCCACACUGGAACUGAGACACGGUCCAGACUCCUACGGGAGGCAGCCAUG
rnacentral:rRNA from 1 species